UUUAAAUAGUAAUUACAUUUCCCGUAUCACAAUCAUUUAAUCAUUUAGUUGUUUUUUUAUUUCUUCCGCGAAUCAAAAUUUAACCAAUUUUUAAACAAUCAUAAUUAACAAAAUUUUUAGGACUUUUUCUUUACAAUUAUAGACGAAUUACUCAGUAACUAAGUGUCAUACAUCAAAUCUAAUAAAUCACUUAAAUAUUAACACAAGGAUCCCCUUGGUAAUUUUAUCACAUUAUAACUUUAUUAUAAAUAUUAAAGAAUGAUAUUAAGUAUAUAUGUUAUAGUGUAAUGGAUUCAAAAAUAUAUCGAGUUUCAUAAAUUAAAAAAAACGUCUUAUGUUAAUGUUGUGCUUUUAAAAAGUGUUUGAAUUAGAUUUAAAAACAGAAUAAAGUCAGAAUUUUUGAAAACGAGUUGAAUUCCGAAACUGUUAAAAUGAAAAAUUUAAAACAUUCGAUACUCUGCACCGCCAAUACAACAAAAGUUUAAAUAUUUUGAUAUAAUACAUAAACAUGGGAAAAUGAUUACUGUUAUGAAACAAUCGUCUAAUUAUUUUUUUUAUGAGAUGUGUCGUUUGUAACGCCAUGGCGGAUGAUCAGCCGGACAAUCUGAGGAAUUAGCAACUUGACCACAUUAUUAAACAAUAUUACUAGUAGAGUUUUGUAAAAUUUUGUACCAGGAUUUCAUGAGUAGGUGAGACGUUACGAGUCUACUUGAUUACUAUAUGAGAUUGGUAUCGGUAUUUUAUUACAAAUAUCAAAACUAAUACCAGGAGUUCAUAAGGACUAGCGUAAGAAAUCAUAUGACCAGGUCGUAUAAUUCUAAAUGGUGUCAAGCUUUUCACCGGCGAUUUUCGAGUGGCCAUCAACAUUAUCAAACUCACUAUGUUGUCGAGGUUGGCAAGGAAGGCGAAUACAGUAACGGAGGGGUACGGACAUCGGCCGGCAUCACAUGAAAUGUACCACCACAAGAACCAGGUCGUCCGACCGCGGGAAGGUCUGCUGUAGAUCCGUUCCGAGUGGAUUGAUCGACGUUUACCGGUUGGACACGUUGCACCAAUGCCGAAUCGAUCGGGGUAAGAACAUGACUGGGCUCGGGUGUGCUCACCAUUGUAGAAACAGUAGUCUUCAACAGGACCGCGU